UUAUUAUUAUUAUUUUUUUUUGUUAAAAACCAAGAAAAUAAGAAAGAAGAAAAAAAGAUUUGAGAUUAGAUAUUAAUUAUAUGUUAACGAAGAGUAAAAAAGAAAGGGGAAAAAGUAAAGAUGGGCGGCUAAGAAAAGGAAUAAAAUAAAGAAAGAAGGAGAGCUUUGGUUUGGUGGUGUGUGGGGAGCCGCGUCGACUCGCUGCCUCCAAAGAGUGGGGACGACAUUGGUCUUUUCGGCUGUCAACCUACGCGGAUGUUCGCCACAGCCACAGCCACAGCCACAGCCACAGCCACACACACACGCUUUAAUAUUUAUUCCCUAUCCAUUCACGCUCUUUCCUUCCCCUUGUUAUUGCCUUUCAUCAUUUUAUCAACCUUCUUAGUACUGUUGUUGCCUUAGUGGGAUGGGAGCCACAAACAAUCUUUCUUCUUUUCUUUGGAUUGUGAAGCCCAAUGAUACAAAGCCCAUUCUCCUCUUUAUUACCCAAUGGUUAGUGUGAGUUGGUGUGGUGUUAUUAAAAGAAGAAAUUUUGUGGCCGUAGAUAACCCUCUUUAAAAUUCCAUUGCUUUUCUUUUCCUUUUCUAUUUCUUACCAAUUUAGUUUAGUGGUGACACUCUGCUUAUUUUACUCAAAAUAUAGCAUCUACACACAUGUAUUUUUUCUGCUCAGAUUUAGGGUUUCUCAUAUUGUUUAUCAAAGCUACCAAGUUGUAGAACUGUAUUCAAAUAGUUUGUGUUCCAGUAUUUGAGGAGAGAUUUGUACUGAGAGUUUCAGUUUCUU
rnacentral:lncRNA from 1 species